AGUCGAAAUGGCCCGGGAACAGAACCAAGACAGAAGGAGAAACAAGAUAAAUGCCAGAAGCCGGGACUGAGGGUAAAGACCCAGAGGGAGACUAACACGGCACUCAAAUAUCGGGCAGAAAGUUUCGGGAAGGAAGAGAAGAAAGAGUAAUCAAGAGGGGCAGGGCUCAGGAAAAUUGCCGAUGGAAUGAGAAUCCAACGUGCAGCCGCCGGAGGUAAUGACGUGCUCUGGAGCCAGUCUGCCCAACCCAACAGGUACCUCGGUGGGGUGCAUCUCUCAGUUGUGAGUGGAAAAUAUCUGCCUUCGGGAUUGUAUGGCUGGAAUACAAUCAUUCGCUGAUUCUCGGGUUCGUGGGAUCCAUCCUUAAGAUCCAGACCAACGGUGGCCGAAAUAAUGAUGAAGGUUUCGUUUGAAAGCCAAACAGAAAAAUUGGAACGGGAGUUCCACUUGUGAAGAAAAGAAGCAUUUUUCAUUUUCCAACCUGAACUCACCAGAGUCUUCAACGCCAAUCAGUAUGAUAAACUACCUUCUCAAAGCAUCUGUAAUUUAUGUAAAAUAGCGGCAUUCACUUCCCCGGAUUCUUUUUUUUUAGUUCAUUUUGGGGAAUUGGGUGAGCAUCUGUCAAGUCCGUUGGUGCCCCUUGAAUCACUCUGAUUAAUGAAGAUACCCUCUUCCACA